rnacentral:lncRNA from 1 species
GUGUGUCAAUUUGGUGUUCAUCCAAUAGUCAGAAUCUCAAUCAAUCCUAAAUUCAAAACUAAGUUAGGCUCUUAUCCCAAAUAGAUACACCAGGACCCCUAAAGCCCGUUCUGAUACCAACUGUAACACCCCAACCGACACAGCGCUUGGAAUAUUACCACAUAACACCUUCGAAAUGAAAACAUGCCCUCAAAAGAAUUUCGGCAGAGUUUCCUCUAUUUCUAAGGACAUCCACGACAUGCAAUUCAUAUAGUAUAUAUAUCGCAAAGAACUAGCACCGGUGUAAAGCACAAGGCUACAAUACCAUAACCGAGAACAUCCUCGGUAACUUUAGGCGAUAGCGUUAGUCUUAAGGGGAAAUUAGCUAAGCCAUACAGACCAAGAGGGUAUCUCUCCAAUUCAAGAUGAACCACCACAGGUAGUAAAGUACAACUAUACUAGGUUCUCAAAACACGGUCCUAAAGGACAAUAGGUGUGAGUUCCGUGAAGUGAAAACGGUGAAGAUGCUACUCCCAAGACUUCCAUGCAUGUCGUCCUCAGGAUUUACCUAAAACAAAUAAGCAACAAGGAUGAGUACAAAGACUCAGCAAGUACAUACAUGAAUAAUAAGCAUUACACAUGUCAAGAUACCAAAUCUCUAUUAAGCACCAUACACUCAUCAGCAAUCAACACUUGUAUUCAUGCCCUACGUGCCUACAUGCUCAUCUCAUUUCAUUGCGUAUACCGGUAUCGCUUGAGUCGACGCCCGUCGACAUCCACUCACUCCAACUUGUGGAGGUUGCCUCCACAGUAGGUCGCAACCCAACAAUGGAGGUCUCAAUGUGCCUACCCAAGGUAGGGAACUCUUUCUUUCACGAUCAUCAUGUAUGCAAAUAUGCAAAUGCAAGCAAAGAACUUGAAUCAACAUGUCUUUGUCAUCGUCAUCUCCAUCACAAUAAACAUCAUAGACAUGGGCGAAUAUUAAGAUACAAAAGAAGUGCAGAGGAUAUGCAACGUCGUUAUCCUGUCAUGAACUUGCCUCAACCGCGGGGCACAACUUGUGGGUUAAAGGAUCCUGAACCAGAAGUACCAACACCUGUAAGCAGGCAUAUAUCACAACCAAUACAAAAACAUGGACUUAACUUCUAAGCAUAUAUAAUUCAGCUUCGCUCCUACGCAUAAGACCCCAGUGCAUAUCAAUCAACAUUGAUGAAAUCUGAGAAUAUAUACUUGUUCCUCUACCCAAGUCCAUACAUUAAAAUUCUGUCCAACAUAGACAGCCCACCUUGAUAACUUCAUAGGUUUUAAUAUACCAAACAAAAUAUAAUAAAUGAUAUGUGUUUAAUCAUCUACAGAACAGCAUCUACAAAUAUCAUGUUAUAACUUUAUUUUAAUUCCACAUUUAACAGGUCCUAAUCUCCCAAAUGAAAAUACUGUACGCAGAAAACUGUAUUUCUGGACAGCAAACCAAAUAGACGGCUGCUCUCAAACCGUACAUCCAAACGAGGCAAUUAAGUACUCCACGGAAACCUUAGAACAUGCUUUACAAAUCAUAUGUAGAGCCCAACUCAAAAUUCUAAGCAUAACUAUCCCGUUUUUCACCUAGAAGCUGGCUGUCCAGAUCUGACAGUUCAGUUCUUGUGUAGUUUAUGUGCAGUAUUAACCGAACCAAGUUCAGUUUACAAGGAGAGAUACCCAACGCUCCAGAUUUUACAUGGAAGCAAUCAACACCUCGCAAAAAUAUAGAUGGACUAUCAUCCCCAAUUGAUUUGGUUAAUCAAAGGAACUAACAAAGAGAAGGUCCAGCCUGGGUGUCAAUACCAAAUAGCUAAAAGCAUGGAGAUCACCAAUGAAUUUGCAAAUUGGUUCAGGAAUCCCUUUCCAAAUCCCGAAUCUAAUUCUAAACUAUCAACUGCUACCCAAAUCCCUAAUUAUGACCUAGGAGGCACCAUAGAAAAGGAGAACUGGGACGUACUGCUAGCGACACGACGCCCAGCAGCCACCCCUGCUCGGCAACGACCACGGAGAGGAGAUGCGUCGGGGAGAGCAGCAACCUCGCGGCUCACGGCGGCGGCAACCACCACCAGCAGCAGCGACGGCAGCAACCUCUGUUGGGAAGACCAGAGGAAGGCUUUGGUGAGGGGUAACAGGAGAGAAACAGGAUUUGGGCGCAGCGUACAGCGGCGCAAGGAGCGACCAAUGGCUACGCCAAGUCUGACUGGGCCUUGAGCCCAUAUAGGAUUUUCUUUCCUCUCGUUUUGGAAAGCUUAAAGAGCUAAAAUCUGCUAUUUAGUCAAAAGCACCACAUAGGCCAACUGGUAUUCAGCCUACUACUGAGAGGUCCAAGGUUCAAAUGCCAACACGCCUCUUCCAUUUAUUUCCCAUAGUCUCUCUCUCUCUCUCUCUCUCUCUCUCUCUCUCAUUUUCCUUUUCCUAUUUUAUAUCAUAGUCUACAAAUAUCGACUUUACCUUAUUCAUCUAUAUAUUUAAGCAUAUUGGCACAAUCAAUUAGCAAAAGAAAUCUGGGGCAUUACAGAUAGUUAAUGUGUUCAGUUGGCUAGAAUAGAUGUUUCAGUUGGCCAUGAUACAUUUUUUCAGUUUUGGCCAACAUGCAUGUUUAGUUGGCUAGAAAACAUGUUCUUAUUGCACAUAUACUACAUGUUUUCUAAAGUGUCCACUCACAAAUAUCCAGUGCAUGUGGGGUACAAUGCAUGUUUUAGUCUGUUUUAAUUGGCCAGAGAACUUGUCUUAGUUGGCUUGUUUAACACAUCCAGGCGGUAGAAGCUUGCUUGGCAUGCAUCAUAUUCAGUAAAGUUGGUCUCAAACCAUGUUUAAUGUGCAACUAGGCAGCUGUGCAACAAAACCUAAAUGACUUGUGUUUAGUUGCACAACCCAGGAAAUAGUAGGCUUCCACCCAUGGUUAGUUGCAUAGUAAUUCGUGGUAGUUGUUUUCAGUUGCAAUAUGUCACUCAUGGGGGGAGGGGGUGGAGGGUGGUGUGAUGUGCCAGAUUCACCUCUUUUUUGAAGCAGCUUCUCCAUGGAUUUGUGCUAGAUCCAUGGAGAAGAGGGUCUACAUAUGCCUACAUAUAUGCAGUAGAAGAAAGUGGGAAGUGAAGAGGGGCAGAGGGGGCUUACCUACUUGAUGCUGCUGCCUGGUAUGGCUUUGAACACCCUGCCCUUAGAUCUUCUUUUUUGAAGCAGCUCCUUCUUCUACUUUGGGGCUCCCAUGGCGGCUGUGUAGAAGGAGGAAGAAGGGCCGGGGGCGAUUCUGUUGGGUCUCCUUCUGGCGUGCAGAAAAAGAAGAAGGCAGCGUGGGAGGGGCUGGGGCGAGCGGGCGUGGGGGCGAGCUAGGGACAGCUGGCCACGUGG